GAUGAACGCUGGCGGCGUGCCUAAUACAUGCAAGUCGAGCGAACAGACGAGGAGCUUGCUCCUCUGACGUUAGCGGCGGACGGGUGAGUAACACGUGGAUAACCUACCUAUAAGACUGGGAUAACUUCGGGAAACCGGAGCUAAUACCGGAUAAUAUAUUGAACCGCAUGGUUCAAUAGUGAAAGACGGUUUUGCGGUCACUUAUAGAUGGAUCCGCGCCGCAUUAGCUAGUUGGUCAGGUAACGGCUUACCAAGGCAACGAUGCGUAGCCGACCUGAGAGGGUGAUCGGCCACACUGGAACUGAGACACGGUCCAGACUCCUACGGGAGGAAGCAGUAGGGAAUCUUCCGCAAUGGGCGAAAGCCUGACGGAGCAACGCCGCGUGAGUGAUGAAGGUCUUCGGAUCGUAAAACUCUGUUAUUAGUGAAGAACAAAUGUGUAAGUAACUAUGCACGUCUUGACGGUACCGAAUCAGAAAGCCACGGCUAACUACGUG
rnacentral:rRNA from 1 species